CCAACGGCCCUUUUAAGGGCCACCAUUAUAUUCGAAGAGCCGAAA
rfam:Orchesella cincta Ocin01_Sc3841, whole genome shotgun sequence.